rnacentral:lncRNA from 7 species
GAAGCCAUGGCAGAGACAUGUGCGUGGGAAUCGCCGUCGGAAGUCACAGCUCAGUCAGUCACAGUACUGAAGGAGCCGAUCAGGGUGUGUGGCUACCUUCAGUGUCCCAGGCUCUCUCUGCAGCCAUGGACCUGAACGGCCACGUUCAUCCAGGGAUGCUGGGAGCCAGAGGCAAAGCUUUCCUGCCCUUUCUGCUGCCCCUCAGCACUGCUCUGGAGAUGUGGCCAAAGCAGACAGGGGCCCACUCCCUGCAGAGUGUCGCACGAGGCCCGGGUGCUGAUGACCCUUCCUCUGCGAGCCUGCCGAACUGUGCAGGGAGUGAUAGGUUGGUCUGUUUGUUUUGCAGCUGAGAUGUAUGAACAUCUGCUGAACUUUGAGGAGACUGCUAAAAGCAUCUGCUUCCGCCUUCCAAUUGUAGAGCAGCGCAUCCAUGAGACCAUGCUCCUCUUUGCUGAGGCCAUCUGAGGAAAGAGGGAAGUUGACUUCUUCUUCAGGAGACGUGGCGUUCAUUCUCUGGGAGGGCAGGAGGUCAUCAUGAACUUCUUUGAUGACUGCAUACUGCAGUUGGAUGUCACGGGCAACAUGCUGCCCGCUCUUCUCGCAGAGAGCUUGUAUGCCUCCGGGGCUCCCUGCAGUACUCUCAAAUGAGCUUUGCCACCCUUGAGAGCAACAGACACGUGUCUGUGGCCUCUGCUCACUUGUGUCUGUCCCGAUGCAGGACUCCGAGAUGAUGAACACGAUUGCAUUUAGAGGCGAAAACAAGUUUACUCGAUGCAGUGAGGAUGGCUUCGUCAAACUGCCAAGUGAACGUGUAUGAUUCUGCGAUGCUGGGUCGGCGCAGGGCAUCUCAGGGUGUGAGAGGAGAAAGAAUAUGCAAGGUGCAGGAGAAGAAAAAUCAAGGAGUUAGAUUCAGGAUCGCACUUUCUCAUGGAAAGUGCCAGCUCUGAACAAAGGGAGACAGCCAGGUGAAUCUUUCAGGUGGAAGACUUCCACUCCUCAGAGGUGGCUGCUGUGCAGUGCACUCAGUGCCCAGUUUCUUCAAUGCCACGGAGAAAGAAGUCAUUCCAAUAAAACAGGCUGUGCCAUAAACCAUCCUGGAAAUGUGACUGCAGGUCAGAUUUGUCAAAUACGUCUGUUCUAGAAGGUCCUGGUUCCACUGUUGGUUUACCAGUGUGACCUUUAACGCUGGCAGAAGCCAUUCCAAGAGCAGCAUUUCAGCUGAUGCCAGGACGGGAGCACAGCCCUCUCCAGGAGGAACCAACACUGAAGCUCUUUUAUCUGCCUGAGCCAUGGAGCAGUCUAUGCCUGUGCUUCUCUCUGGUGCAUCACUCUGAUCGCAGCCCUACUGUGCACGUGACUUCUGGGCAUGGUCUGCUCAGCAUGAUGGACUCUCACAGCCAUUGGGGCUCUUGGCUGAUUUUGACCAUUACUCCCCUCCCGUCCCGCUCUGCUGUAACUCCAUGGGCACGGACACUGCUCCUGGAAGCACAGUGUCACCCUCAGCUCCAGUUCCCAGGGACCAACUGGUGCUCGGUGCCUCUCUCAGCUGACGCCAGGUUCUUUUCCCCACGAAAAAGAAGUAUUUCUCUGUGUGGCUGUAAAAUGUAUUCCUCUCAGACUGGAAUGGAAAUGCGGUGUCAGAAGGUAGGCUCUUCUGCCAUUUCAGACACUGAAUUCUGUGCCUUAACGUGCUUUCUGCUAGAGGAGGGACCAGCUGUCUCAGUCCUUGAGCAGAGUCGUGCUUUGCAUCCCCAGGGUGAAUGUGCCACGCACCUGUUGGUGUUUGUUCUCUGUGUGAAACAGGUUGCACGCUAGGAAUUUUCUGUGCAAGUGUUUAUUGCUAAGAAAUGCUUUCAUCGUGAACACAGAACAGACCCACUUGUGGAUUUCAGCAGUCAUUCCCCCAGAUUGUAUUAAGCACUCUCCAUCGCAGUCUCAGACAAACAGAAUUUCUUUUUCUCCACCUGCAAAAUCCCAACUCCUUUUCAGCCACCUAAACAGCAUCUCGCCCAGUGGUGACUGACACUUUUGUCCUGGACUGUGUGCGGUGCUACCUGAGGGCUGAGGUGAAGCAAACGCUUUUCCCUGGCAUACAGAAGCACAGAUGUGACUGUCAGCUCUUGCACCGUUUGUCCCCACGCGAUCGGCUCUGCAGCCGCGAGGCAGCGGUACCCACACAGCCCCGUGUGGAAGUGAGUCCACAGCUGCUCUCUCGGAGCUCCUCCAUGCUCAGUCCUACAUGGCACACUGCCACUCUGCUGAGGGAACCUUCUCUCCAGGGAUGUAGUGGGGGGGCUUCCCUGGGUCAGUCGUGGGUUCGAAAAAGAGUUCUGGAAGCAGAGAGAGCAAAUUAAUUUAUUUAACUCUCCAGUCCAUAAAAUAAUUUGGUGGAGCAUCGGCUUUUGUUAGUGAUGGUCAGAAGUGUAAAGCCACUGAUUAUCUCUAAUGUGAAAUAAAUAACUGCUUCAG